UGAGCAAUCUGCCCUUCUCAUCGGAAUAAGCGUUGGAAACGACGUCUAAUGCCGAAUACGACCUCCUUUCGCAUGAUCGGAGGUGGAAAGCUCCGGCGGAGAAGGAUGAGCUCGCGGCCUAUCAGCUAGUUGGUGUGGGUAACGGCCCACCAAGGCGACGACGGGUAGCCGGCCUGAGAGGGUGACCGGCCACACUGGGACUGAGACACGGCCCAGACUCCUACGGGAGGCAG
rnacentral:rRNA from 1 species